rnacentral:rRNA from 1 species
UACGAAGGUGGCAAGCGUUAUUCGGAUUUACUGGGCGUACAGGGAGCGUAGGCGGUUCGGUAAGCCCUCUGUGAAAUCUUCAGGCUUAACCUGGAAAAGUCGGAGGGGACUGCCGGGCUAGAGGACGGGAGAGGAGCGCGGAAUUCCCGGUGUAGCGGUGAAAUUCGUAGAUAUCGGGAGGAACACCAGUGGCGAAGGCGGCGACCUGGACAGACACUGACGCUGAGACGCGAAAGCGUGGGGAGCAAACAGG